rnacentral:tRNA from 1 species
GGGCGCGUAGCUCAGCGGGAGAGCACUACGUUGACAUCGUAGGGGUCGGUGGUUCGAUCCCACCCGCGCCCACCA